UACGGAGGGUGCGAACGUUAAUCGGAAUCACUGGGCGUAAAGCGCGCGUAGGCGGUUUGUUAAGUGGGAUGUGAAAUCCCCGGGCUUAACCUGGGAACUGCAUUUCAAACUGGCCGACUAGAGUACGGUAGAGGGAGGUAGAAUUUCCUGUGUAGCGGUGAAAUGCGUAGAUAUAGGAAGGAAUACCAGUGGCGAAGGCGGCCUCCUGGAUCGAUACUGACGCUGAGGCGCGAAAGCGUGGGGAGCAAACAGG
rnacentral:rRNA from 1 species